rnacentral:rRNA from 1 species
AUGGCGACUUGCAUUCGUAAGGUGGUCUCGGAGGAGCUUGGAGUGUCCAGGGGAAGGAGAAGCGAAGAUAAGGAUACCUGGUGGUGGAAUGAUGAUGUCCAGAAGGCGAUUAAAGAGAAGAAAGAUUGCUUCAAACGCCUAUACCUGGAUAGGAGUGCAGACAACAUAGAGAAGUACAAGAUGGUGAAGAAGGCUGCAAAGCGAGCUGUUGGUGAAGCAAGGGGUCGGGCAUAUGAGGACCUCUACCAAUGGUUAGGCACGAAGGAAGGUGAAAGGGACAUCUAUAAGAUGGCCAAGAUCCGAGAGAGGAAGACGAGGGAUAUUGGCCAAGUCAAAUGCAUCAAGGACGGAGCAGGCCAACUCUUGGUGAAGGACGAGGAGAUUAAGCAUAGAUGGCGGGAGUACUUCGACAAGCUGUUCAAUGGGGAGAAUGAGAGUUCUACCAUUGAACUGGACGACUCCUUUGAUGAGACCAACAUGCGUUUUGUGCGGCGAAUCCAGGAGUCUGAGGUCAAGGAGGCUUUAAAAAGGAUGAAAGGAGGCAAGGUGAUGGGCCCUGAUUGUAUCCCCAUUGAGGUGUGGAAAGGUCUCGGGGACAUAGCGAUAGUAUGGCUAACCAAGCUUUUCAACCUCAUUUUUCGGGCAAACAAGAUGCCAGAAGAAUGGAGAUGGAGUAUAUUAGUACCAAUCUUCAAGAACAAGGGGGAUGUUCAGAGUUGUACUAAUUACCGUGGAAUUAAGCUGAUGAGCCAUACAAUGAAGCUAUGGAAGAGAGUCAUUGAGCACCGCUUAAGAAGAAUGACAAGCGUGACCAAAAAUUAG